rnacentral:rRNA from 1 species
GAUGAACGCUGGCGGCGUGCCUAACACAUGCAAGUCGAGCGAACCCUUCGGGGUGAGCGGCGGACGGGUGAGUAACGCGUGGGUAACCUGCCCUAUACACACGGAUAACGUACCGAAAGGUACGCUAAUACGGGAUAAAGUUGUUGGAUGGCAUCUUCUAACAAUCAAAGCUCCGGCGGUAUAGGAUGGACCCGCGUCUGAUUAGCUAGUUGGUGAGGUAAUGGCUCACCAAGGCGACGAUCAGUAGCCGACCUGAGAGGGUGAUCGGCCACACUGGAACUGAGACACGGUCCAGACUCCUACGGGAGGCAGCAGUGGGGAAUAUUGCACAAUGGGCGAAAGCCUGAUGCAGCAACGCCGCGUGAGCGAUGAAGGUCUUCGGAUCGUAAAGCUCUGUCCUCAAGGAAGAUAAUGACGGUACUUGAGGAGGAAGCCCCGGCUAACUACGUGCCAGCCGCAGUAAUAC